UAACGAAUCUUCCGCAAUGGGCGAAAGCCUGACGGAGCGACGCCGCGUGUAGGAGAAGCCCUUCGGGGUGUAAACUACUGUCAGGGGUUAGAAAGUUCUGAUCAACCCCAGAGGAAGGCACGGCUAACUCUGUGCCAGCAGCCGCGGUAAGACAGAGGUGCCAAGCGUUAGGCGGAAUCACUGGGCUUAAAGCGUGUGUAGGCGGGUCGUUAAGUACCUUGUGAAAUCCCACGGCUCAACCGUGGAACUGCUUGGUAUACUGGCGAUCUUGAGCCACUUAGGGGUUACCGGAACAAACGGUGGUGAAAUGCGUAGAGAUCGGCAGGAACACCCAGGGGGAAACCAGCCGCCUGGGCACGCGCUGACGCUGAGGUGCGAGAGCGUGGGGAGCGAACCGGAUUAGAUACCCGGGUAGUCCACGCCGUAAACGAUGGCCACUCGGCCUUUGGGUGCGGAACUUCCGUGCCUGGGGGCCUGAGCUAACGCACUAAGUGGCCCGCCUGGGAACUACGAGCGCAAG
rnacentral:rRNA from 1 species